AGGACGAACGCUGGCGGCGUGCUUAACACAUGCAAGUCGAGCGGAAAGGCCCUUCGGGGUACUCGAGCGGCGAACGGGUGAGUAACACGUGAGUAAUCUGCCCCUAGCUCUGGGAUAGCUCCGGGAAACCGGGAUUAAUACCGGAUACGACCACCUUAGACAUCUUUUGUGGUGGAAAGAAUUUCGGCUAGGGAUGAGCUCGCGGCCUAUCAGCUUGUUGGUGGGGUAACGGCCCACCAAGGCUUUGACGGGUAGCUGGUCUGAGAGGACGACCAGCCACACUGGGACUGAGACACGGCCCAGACACCUACGGGUGGCAGCAGUCGAGAAUUUUUCUCAAUGGGGGAAACCCUGAAGGAGCGACGCCGCGUGGAGGAUGAAGGUCUUCGGAUUGUAAACUCCUGUCAUUGGGGAACAAGUCGCUUACGUUAACUGCGUGAGCGUUGAUAGUACCCGAAGAGGAAGAGACGGCUAACUCUGUGCCAGCAGCCGCGGUAA
rnacentral:rRNA from 1 species